CUCCAGACUCCUACGGGAGGCAGCAGUGAGGAAUAUUGGUCAAUGGCCGGAAGGCUGAACCAGCCAAGCCGCGUGAAGGACGAAGGUGCCAAGCAUUGUAAACUUCUUUUGUCAAGGGACAAAAUCAGGCUCGAGAGCCUGACCGAGGGUACUUGAAGAAAAAGCAUCGGCUAACUCCGUGCCAGCAGCCGCGGUAAUACGGAGGAUGCGAGCGUUAUCCGGAUUUAUUGGGUUUAAAGGGUGCGUAGGCGGAUUGUUAAGUCAGGGGUAAAUGCCCGGGGCCCACCCCCGGCGAGCCGUUGAAACUGGGGGCCUUGAGUGGGCGAGAAGAAGGCGGAAUGCGUGGUGUAGCGGUGAAAUGCAUAGAUAUCACGCAGAACCCCGAUUGCGAAGGCAGCCUUCCGGCGCCCUACUGACGCUGAGGCACGAAAGUGCGGGGAUCGAACAGGAUUAGAUACCCCCGUAUG
rnacentral:rRNA from 1 species